GUGCCAGCCGCCGCGGUAAUACGUAGGGACCGAGCGUUGUCCGGAUUUAUUGGGCGUAAAGAGCUCGUAGGCGGCCGCGCAAGUCGAUUGUGAAAACUCGGGGCUCAACCCCGAGCCUGCGUUCGAUACUGCACGGCUAGAGUCUGGUAGGGGGAUCUGGAAUUCCUGGUGUAGCGGUGGAAUGCGCAGAUAUCAGGAGGAACACCGGUGGCGAAGGCGGGAUCCUGGGCCAGUACUGACGCUGAGGAGCGAAAGCGUGGGGAGCAAACAGGAUUAGAAACCCGCGUAGUCC
rnacentral:rRNA from 1 species